rnacentral:tRNA from 1 species
UGGGUAGCUCAGUUGAUUAGAACGUGGUGCUGAUAACACCAAGGCUGCAGGUUCCAUCCCUGUAAGGGAAA